rnacentral:tRNA from 2 species
UGCAGUGUAACCUAACGGCAAGGUACUCGGCUCAUAAUCGAGGAUAUGUGGGUUCAAUUCCCACCACUGCGACCA